UCCGACUUCCAGGUCCGUGCUCUAUCCACUGCGCCGUGCUGCUUCUCUACACCGCACUGGCGUCUCCCCAGCUCCUCCGUCCGUCAGUAUUCCAGAUCGACUCGGGUCCUGGGGAAUCCGCCGUCUGCUUUGAUGUCCUGGUCUUCGCAGCUGGGAACGUCCAGCCCGGCUCUGGGAACGCCCCCCGCCCCCCACCCGGCCGACCUCGCGACAUUUGCCACCAUCGGGAAAAGGAACGAGGGCGGGUGCCACGACGACGCUCCGCCCCGGGAACCAGAGGCAUCCAAUCCGAUACGACAGUCGACGACCCUUCCCAUUGGACAAGGGCCCCGUCGUCUCUCGCUGCCAGCCCGCAAAUCAUUAAGCUAAUUUCGUUUGACACUCCCAGAGCCAGAUAGGAAGGAGAAGAGGAUGAUAAGAUGAGCCCGUGGAUAGGUGAGUCCUUUAAAAGGGAG